ensembl:lncRNA
CGGCCAUGUGCUUGUUGCUCACAAGGGCAGCAAACAUUCCUUCUGCUCAGCGAAGCAGAUGCCUAUUGGAAACCCUUGCGCCACCUUCUUUACUGUCUUUCCCCCUCGCUCCAGCUAGCACUGCAGCAGGGGGCCAAAGAUGCUCUUCUGGUCUCCUCUCCGGCAACUCCUGCGCUGCUGCAGCCGCAGCUCCUGUGGAGCAGAGCGCUGGCGAGAGCAGGCCCUGGCAUCGCCCAGGCCUCGCUGCGGAGUGUGGCCGGGGCCCGGCGGGGAGAGGGAGCUGUCGCUGUGAGGCGGGUGCCCUGCUGUGACGCCCCGCCGUGUCACAGAGGGCUGCGGGAACCCACCACCUCACAGGCACCGCCAGGUUUGGCCCCGAUGUGGGACACCGCCGCUCCCAGCUUGCCAGGGCCGCCGGGGCCUUUGUGGCCUGGGCGGGCAUGGGGGCGCCACGCCAGACUCCCCACCCCACCAGGACUGCUGAGCAAUCUUUUUACCUUCAGCGACCUGUGACCUGGGGUCCCCUGCUGAAAUGCUCUUCGCAGUGCCCACCAAGUACCCCUUGGGUGGACAGGCCAUCUCUCUUGUUCAAGGCCAGGCUGCUAAGCCGGCUCCUAGGCCAUGAGGGCUGUCAGGGAAAGACCCUCUUUCUCCAGGGGCCGCUGCCAGGGCAACUGAAGGGCAUGGCAGGAGAGGGGACCCCCAUGCACCUGGGGAGACCCUUACCACAUGAACUCCUCCUUCUGCUUCCCCCUGUUGCUCCUCAGGGCAGCCUUCCUUGCCCACUCGCCCUGCCGUGCUUUGGAAGUCUCCAGCAGCUUCAGGGGCAGGCUUGCUUGUGGGGAAUGGAGGCUGCAAUGGCAGGGAGCAGCUUCAGGGGCAGGCUUGCUUGUGGGGAAUGGAGGCUGCAAUGGCAGGGAGCAGCUCUCCAUGAUGCUUUGGCUGGGACGCUGCCUGCCUCUUCCAUUCCCCAGUCCCCCUGUGCGCGCACACACACACACACACUCUGAUCCUGGCUCCGCAGGGCAAUAGCCGGGAGAAAAGCCCUUUCCCAGGGCUCCCUGUCUUCCUCACCACCUCGUCUGACUUGACGUUCACUGGCAGUUUGCACACCCACACUCAGAAGAGGGGCACACCCACACAGAGGCUAGGUAGAGAGAGGAUUUCAUCAGCAUACUGCACAGUGUGUGGGGAUGAAGCGCAGGGCUCAGGCAGAUGAGUGCUGACCAGCGCCCUCUUCUCCYGUGAGCAGCCCCUUUUGUCCCCCUUGGCAUCCAGCCGCUGUCCUGGUGCCUGGUGGCCUCCUCUUUGCUGGCCCGGGGCCCAAGCCUCUCCUGCUCGCUCUCGGUGCUGGCCUGCGAGAGCUUCUUGGCAGACACAGGCCAGGCCGGGCACACGCCGCCCCCCAGGCCUGGGUGCGAGGGCAUAAGGGCAGGCCUUCUGCACCUCUGGCUCCUGGCACAGGUUUUCCUCCAGCUGAUGCCCAUGGCUCUGGCUCCAUGCCGACCUCCAGAAGCCAGACUCCAGCUUCCGUACCACCUUCCUCCAGCUCCAGCCUGGCGCCUCAACACAGGCUGUCCGGG